rnacentral:lncRNA from 1 species
CGCCCACUUCAUCUCCAGGCUACAGCCUAUCAUCCCCUGGAUACAGUCCUACUUCUCCCGGUUACAGUCCCACUUCACCUGGAUAUAGCCCGACUUCUCCCGGUUAUAGUCCCACUUCACCAACCUACAGCCCCAGUUCUCCUGGCUAUAGCCCAACAAGCCCUGCUUAUUCUCCUACAAGUCCUUCCUAUUCUCCCACCUCUCCUAGCUACAGCCCAACAUCUCCAAGCUAUAGCCCAACGUCCCCGAGCUACAGCCCGACAUCACCGAGCUACAGCCCCACUUCUCCGAGUUACAGCCCGACAUCGCCUGCUUAUAGCCCGACCUCGCCCGCGUAUAGCCCGACUUCACCUGCAUACAGCCCGACCUCUCCUUCUUACAGCCCAACAUCACCAUCUUACAGCCCAACAUCACCUUCUUACAGUCCUACUUCACCCUCCUACAGUCCCACUUCACCUUCUUACAGUCCUACUUCACCCGCAUACAGCCCUACGUCUCCUGGCUACAGCCCAACUUCACCAAGCUACAGCCCAACAUCACCUAGUUACGGUCCUACGUCUCCAAGCUACAACCCUCAGUCUGCUAAAUACAGCCCAUCUCUGGCUUACUCUCCUAGCAAUGCAAGACUAUCGCCAGCUAGCCCCUACAGUCCUACAUCUCCA